GGUUAAGCGACUAAGCGUACACGGUGGAUGCCCUGGCAGUCAGAGGCGAUGAAGGACGUGCUAAUCUGCGAUAAGCGUCGGUGAGGUGAUAUGAACCGUUAUAACCGGCGAUUUCCGAAUGGGGAAACCCAGUGUGUUUCGACACACUAUCAUUAACUGAAUCCAUAGGUUAAUGAGGCGAACCGGGGGAACUGAAACAUCUAAGUACCCCGAGGAAAAGAAAUCAACCGAGAUUCCCCCAGUAGCGGCGAGCGAACGGGGAGGAGCCCAGAGCCUGAAUCAGUGUGUGUGUUAGUGGAAGCGUCUGGAAAGGCGCGCGAUACAGGGUGACAGCCCCGUACACAAAAAUGCACAUAUUGUGAGCUCGAUGAGUAGGGCGGGACACGUGGUAUCCUGUCUGAAUAUGGGGGGACCAUCCUCCAAGGCUAAAUACUCCUGACUGACCGAUAGUGAACCAGUACCGUGAGGGAAAGGCGAAAAGAACCCCGGCGAGGGGAGUGAAAAAGAACCUGAAACCGUGUACGUACAAGCAGUGGGAGCCUCUUUAUGGGGUGACUGCGUACCUUUUGUAUAAUGGGUCAGCGACUUAUAUUCUGUAGCAAGGUUAACCGAAUAGGGGAGCCGAAGGGAAACCGAGUCUUAACUGGGCGUUAAGUUGCAGGGUAUAGACCCGAAACCCGGUGAUCUAGCCAUGGGCAGGUUGAAGGUUGGGUAACACUAACUGGAGGACCGAACCGACUAAUGUUGAAAAAUUAGCGGAUGACUUGUGGCUGGGGGUGAAAGGCCAAUCAAACCGGGAGAUAGCUGGUUCUCCCCGAAAGCUAUUUAGGUAGCGCCUCGUGAAUUCAUCUCCGGGGGUAGAGCACUGUUUCGGCAAGGGGGUCAUCCCGACUUACCAACCCGAUGCAAACUGCGAAUACCGGAGAAUGUUAUCACGGGAGACACACGGCGGGUGCUAACGUCCGUCGUGAAGAGGGAAACAACCCAGACCGCCAGCUAAGGUCCCAAAGUCAUGGUUAAGUGGGAAACGAUGUGGGAAGGCCCAGACAGCCAGGAUGUUGGCUUAGAAGCAGCCAUCAUUUAAAGAAAGCGUAAUAGCUCACUGGUCGAGUCGGCCUGCGCGGAAGAUGUAACGGGGCUAAACCAUGCACCGAAGCUGCGGCAGCGACACUAUGUGUUGUUGGGUAGGGGAGCGUUCUGUAAGCCUGUGAAGGUGGCCUGUGAGGGUUGCUGGAGGUAUCAGAAGUGCGAAUGCUGACAUAAGUAACGAUAAAGCGGGUGAAAAGCCCGCUCGCCGGAAGACCAAGGGUUCCUGUCCAACGUUAAUCGGGGCAGGGUGAGUCGACCCCUAAGGCGAGGCCGAAAGGCGUAGUCGAUGGGAAACAGGUUAAUAUUCCUGUACUUGGUGUUACUGCGAAGGGGGGACGGAGAAGGCUAUGUUGGCCGGGCGACGGUUGUCCCGGUUUAAGCGUGUAGGCUGGUUUUCCAGGCAAAUCCGGAAAACCAAGGCUGAGGCGUGAUGACGAGGCACUACGGUGCUGAAGCGACAAAUGCCCUGCUUCCAGGAAAAGCCUCUAAGCAUCAGGUAACAUCAAAUCGUACCCCAAACCGACACAGGUGGUCAGGUAGAGAAUACCAAGGCGCUUGAGAGAACUCGGGUGAAGGAACUAGGCAAAAUGGUGCCGUAACUUCGGGAGAAGGCACGCUGAUAUGUAGGUGAAGCGACUUGCUCGUGGAGCUGAAAUCAGUCGAAGAUACCAGCUGGCUGCAACUGUUUAUUAAAAACACAGCACUGUGCAAACACGAAAGUGGACGUAUACGGUGUGACGCCUGCCCGGUGCCGGAAGGUUAAUUGAUGGGGUUAGCGGUAACGCGAAGCUCUUGAUCGAAGCCCCGGUAAACGGCGGCCGUAACUAUAACGGUCCUAAGGUAGCGAAAUUCCUUGUCGGGUAAGUUCCGACCUGCACGAAUGGCGUAAUGAUGGCCAGGCUGUCUCCACCCGAGACUCAGUGAAAUUGAACUCGCUGUGAAGAUGCAGUGUACCCGCGGCAAGACGGAAAGACCCCGUGAACCUUUACUAUAGCUUGACACUGAACAUUGAGCCUUGAUGUGUAGGAUAGGUGGGAGGCUUUGAAGUGUGGACGCCAGUCUGCAUGGAGCCGACCUUGAAAUACCACCCUUUAAUGUUUGAUGUUCUAACGUUGGCCCGUAAUCCGGGUUGCGGACAGUGUCUGGUGGGUAGUUUGACUGGGGCGGUCUCCUCCUAAAGAGUAACGGAGGAGCACGAAGGUUGGCUAAUCCUGGUCGGACAUCAGGAGGUUAGUGCAAUGGCAUAAGCCAGCUUGACUGCGAGCGUGACGGCGCGAGCAGGUGCGAAAGCAGGUCAUAGUGAUCCGGUGGUUCUGAAUGGAAGGGCCAUCGCUCAACGGAUAAAAGGUACUCCGGGGAUAACAGGCUGAUACCGCCCAAGAGUUCAUAUCGACGGCGGUGUUUGGCACCUCGAUGUCGGCUCAUCACAUCCUGGGGCUGAAGUAGGUCCCAAGGGUAUGGCUGUUCGCCAUUUAAAGUGGUACGCGAGCUGGGUUUAGAACGUCGUGAGACAGUUCGGUCCCUAUCUGCCGUGGGCGCUGGAGAACUGAGGGGGGCUGCUCCUAGUACGAGAGGACCGGAGUGGACGCAUCACUGGUGUUCGGGUUGUCAUGCCAAUGGCACUGCCCGGUAGCUAAAUGCGGAAGAGAUAAGUGCUGAAAGCAUCUAAGCACGAAACUUGCCCCGAGAUGAGUUCUCCCUGACUCCU
rnacentral:rRNA from 1 species